CUCAGGGAAAAUGGUGAACACGGAAGAUCCCAAGAUGAAAUACACUGAAAUGGAAUAUAUUGGCAAGGGGCAUUUUGGAUCUGUGGUUAGAGCACUCAACAAAGCCACGGGAGGAGAGGUGGCCAUAAAGAAAAUAAGACUUAACGGAUGGCAGAGAAAGCAACUAGCUGUUAAUGAAAUCGAAAUCAUGAAGAAGCAUAGGAGUCCCAGUGUUGUGAAUUACUUAGAUAGGUGAGUGGCCAUGGUCUUAUCCCAUGAAUAUGCACGUACAUACCACACACAUGAGAGGUUAAAAAUCCACUUUGGUCACUUCUAGAAAGUAGAGCUGUUAAUUAUUAUGUAUUAAUAUUUCUCUGCUCAUCUCCAAUGGAUGAGAAGAGAGUGCAUCUUGCCUGCAUGAGUAUUCCCUGGAACAUGUAGUUUGAAAAUUAUUCCAAAAUUAUUCAAAACCUGGAUCAGCUGUAUCUUACAAAGUUAAUACCUUCUAAAUUCACUGCCUCCACAUUCAUUGGGAUUGAUUUUUUAAAGUUUCUUCAAUGCUGAAUGAUGAACCAUCCUAAAGUGGAUUUCCCUUGGAUUGUUGCCCCUCUUUUCCAUUGCUAUGCAUGCCAGGAAGACUAGGUGCUUAUUUCCAGAAACAGCAUUUGUGACAGGAUUUUAUCUGGGCUCUUACUAAACUUCACUUUUCACUUGCUGGCCAUCUAAGACAUCUCCUUUUUCACAGCUGUGCCUUUCUCCCUGAGGCUGCACAGAUUGCAAACAAAGC
rnacentral:lncRNA from 1 species